AUUUUUCUUUCUUUCUUUCCAUCUUCUUCUCUCCACCGAUUUUCUCUAAGAAAACUGUCCAUGGGAGCUUGAAAUUUUCAGCAACUUUAGACCCUUAUAAAUCAAGGAAGAUGAAAUUCGGAAUUAGAUUAGGGGAAAAGCAAGAUAAUCGAGUAAUUGACUUAUUUCGUCGUUUCAUACCAGUGUCAUAGAUGCUAGCUCGAGUUGGAGGUCGUCGGAUAUCCUAUCACACUAACAAGUUAUUUAUAUCAAUGAUUUUCUAGCAUUUUAAGUGUAUGACAUGUAUAGGGAUUUGGUUAUUGUGUACAUGAUAGAAUAUUGGCCUAUGCUAAUUGAAGGUCAUUGUUGUAUAAGGCCAUUUAGUGUGGCCAAUAUUUGCUAUGUUAUAAGUCUAUGAUGAACCAUUACAUGGAUGUGCUUGCUUGUUUGGGUUGGAUGAGUGAAUGCGUGAUAAUUAUGUGUGGCAAAU